rnacentral:lncRNA from 1 species
CCUGGGUGUGUGGAAACCAACCCGAAUAUGAUUUGAGGCAGAUUCUCUCCCUCCUUCUUUCCCCCAGGGACUCUAGUCCUGACUUAAUGUAUCAAACGAAGCUCCAGGAUUUAAUCAAGAAAGGAGGCCAUCAGGAAAAAGAAAAUCAACUCUGAAGCUUAGCUGAAAAUAAUUUGCAUUUUGGGAGCUGUGCGUUAGGGAUGUUUGGUCCAAGCUCUUUCAUGGGGAGAUAAAAUGAAAAUGAUGUGCUUUAUUACUUUGAAAGUCAUACCCUUCUAAUAACAGGGAGAAUAGGAAGCUUUUCUGAUUUAUUCUGCUGAACCAUCACUAUCUGGAGUCAUUUGCACUCAUGGACCAUUGGGAGAACAUUAAUUGACCAAAAAGAGGCUGCUGUUAUUGUCGAGGCAGCAUUGUGUAUCCUUCUGAAAUGGCUGAUCCUGACCUGGGCUCUUGACUUUGCCCCCUCAGACUCUAGCUUUUAUGGGACUGGAUGGAUCUACUGCCAGAGGUCAAGUAGUGCCAGACUGAAAAGCUUUAUCAAUUCCAGAACCUCACCGAGUACCUCCUACUAGGAAAUUUGAAUGUGAACACCUUGGUAACAUCUCAACCACGCACUUGGGAGCUUUUGCCUAUAAUUCAAAGCAAACCGAAAAAGAAAUUAUUCCCACCAUGUUGCAAAAAUUGAAAUGGAAAAAGAACUGUUGAUUCUAAUUCCUCAACCCAGGACUUCAGAUGCCAAUAAUGAUUGCAAAGAAUAAACACCCACUGAGUGCAUCUCAGAAACCGAA